rnacentral:rRNA from 1 species
CCUACGGGGGGCAGCAGUGAGGAAUAUUGGUCAAUGGACGAGAGUCUGAACCAGCCAAGUAGCGUGAAGGAUGACUGCCCUCUGGGUUGUAAACUUCUUUUAUAUGGGAAUAAAACGUUCCACGUGUGGGAUUUUGUAUGUACCAUAUGAAUAAGGAUCGGCUAACUCCGUGCCAGCAGCCGCGGUAAUACGGAGGAUCCGAGCGUUAUCCGGAUUUAUUGGGUUUAAAGGGAGCGUAGGUGGAUUGUUAAGUCAGUUGUGAAAGUUUGCGGCUCAACCGUAAAAUUGCAGUUGAAACUGGCAGUCUUGAGUACAGUAGAGGGGGGCAGAAUUCGUGGUGUAGCGGUGAAAUGCGUAGAUAUCACGAAGAACACCGAUUGCGAAGGCAGUUCACUGGACUACAACUGACACUGAGGCUCGAAAGUGUGGGUAUCAAACAGGAUUAGAUACCCGGGUAGUC